rnacentral:rRNA from 1 species
AGUCGACUGGAAUUCACCUUCGGGUGAUAGUACGGUGGCGGACGGGUGAGUAACGCGUAAAGAACUUGCCCUCUAGACUGGGACAACUGUUGGAAACGACAGCUAAUACCGGAUAUUAUGAGAUUCUCGCAUGGGAAACUUAUGAAAGGCUAUAUGCGCUAGAGGAGAGCUUUGCGUGCCAUUAGGUAGUUGGUAGGGUAAUGGCCUACCAAGCCGACGAUGGCUAGCCGGCCUGAGAGGGUGAUCGGCCACAAGGGGACUGAGACACGGCCCUUACUCCUACGGGAGGCAGCAGUGGGGAAUAUUGGACAAUGGACCAAAAGUCUGAUCCAGCAAUUCUGUGUGCACGAUGAAGGUUUUCGGAUCGUAAAGUGCUUUCAGGUGGGAAGAAAAAAAUGACGGUACCACCAGAAGAAGCGACGGCUAAAUACGUGCCAGCAGCCGCGGUAAUACGUAUGUCGCAAGCGUUAUCCGGAAUUAUUGGGCGUAAAGCGCGUCUAGGCGGCCUUUUAAGUCUGAUGUGAAAAUGCGGGGCUCAACUCCGUAUUGCGUUGGAAACUGGAAGGCUAGAGUAGUUGAGGGGGA